rnacentral:rRNA from 1 species
CACGUAGGGCGCAAGCGUUGUCCGGAAUUAUUGGGCGUAAAGAGCUCGUAGGCGGUUUGUCGCGUCGGGGGUGAAAACCUUGGGCUUAACUCAGGGCUUGCUUUCGAUACGGGCAGACUAGAGGUAUGCAGGGGAGAACGGAAUUCCUGGUGUAGCGGUGAAAUGCGCAGACAUCAGGAGGAACACCGGUGGCGAAGGCGGUUCUCUGGGCAUGAUCUGACGCUGAGGAGCGAAAGUGUGGGGAGCGAACAGG